rnacentral:rRNA from 1 species
GACGAACGCUGGCGGCGUGCUUAACACAUGCCAGUCGAACGGAAAGGCCCUGCUUUUGUGGGGUGCUCGAGUUGCGAACGGGUGAGUAACACGUGAGUAACCUGCCCUUGACUUUGGGAUAACCUCAGGAAACUGGGGCUAAUACCGGAUAGGAGCUCCUGCUGCAUGGCGGGCGUUGGAAAGUUUCGGCGGUUGGGGAUGGACGCGCGGCUUAUCAGCUUGUUGGUGGGGUAGCGGCUUACCAAGGCUUUGACGGGUAGCCGGCCUGAGAGGGUGACCGGCCACAUUGGGACUGAGAUACGGCCCAGACUCCUACGGGAGGCAGCAGUGGGGAAUAUUGCACAAUGGGCGGAAGCCUGAUGCAGCAACGCCGCGUGCGGGAUGACGGCCUUCGGGUUGUAAACCGCUUUCGCCUGUGACGAAGCGUGAGUGACGGUAAUGGGUAAAGAAGCACCGGCUAACUACGUG